UACGUAGGGGCCGAGCGUUGUCCGGAGUUACUGGGCGUAAAGCGUGCGCAGGCGGCGCGUUCUGCCCGGCGUGAAAGCCCCCGGCUCAACCGGGUAGGGUCGUCGGGGACGGGCGCGCUUGAGGGUAUCAGGGGCUGGUGGAAUUCCCGGUGUAGUGGUGAAAUGCGUAGAGAUCGGGAGGAACACCUGUGGCGAAGGCGGCCAGCUGGGAUACACCUGACGCUGAGGCACGAAGGCGUGGGGAGCGAACGGGAUUAGAUACCCCCUGUAGUCCCUGAGCGGGCUGG
rnacentral:rRNA from 1 species